AAAUGAUUCUUAUCUCUUUUUGGAGAGAUGGCCGAGAGGUUUAAAGCGUCGGAUUGCUAAUCCG
rnacentral:tRNA from 3 species